AACGAACGCUGGCGGCAGGCUUAACACAUGCAAGUCGAACGAGAUCUUCGGAUCUAGUGGCAGACGGGUGAGGAACGCGUGGGAACAUCCCUUUCAGUUCGGAAUAACGUUGGGAAACUAACGCUAAUACCGGAUACGUCCUUCGGGAGAAAGAUUUAUCGCUGAAAAAUUGGCCCGCGUCUGAUUAGCUAGUUGGUGAGGUAAUGGCUCACCAAGGCUACGAUCAGUAGCUGAUCUGAGAGGAUGAUCAGCCACAUUGGGACUGAGACACGGCCCAAACUCCUACGGGAGGCAGCAGUGGGGAAUAUUGGACAAUGGGCGCAAGCCUGAUCCAGCCAUGCCGCGUGAGUGAUGACGGCCUUCGGGUUGUAAAGCUCUUUUGUCCGGGAAGAUAAUGACUGUACCGGAAGAAUAAGCCCCGGCAAACUUCGUGCCAGCCGCCGCAGUAA
rnacentral:rRNA from 1 species